UUUGAAAUUUUUAUAUAAUUAUAGGUUAAAUUUUAAUUAUUUAAAAUGUAUAGUUAUAAUUUUAAAUUUUGUUAAUCGAAUUAGAUUAGUACCUAAUUAGUCAAAAGUUAAAAAAGCAGAAGUAAAGUAAAAUUUAAACUGAAAGAAUAUUGGCAGAUUUUCUAAAUUAUCUUUGGAGGUUGAGUAAUAAUUGAGAACCCUCAUUAACUACUUUUUUAGUUGUCUCAUGUAUGAUCGUUUAUUAUAUGCUUAAGGGAUAUAAUUAAAAAUUUUUAUUUAAAAAAAUAGAUAUAUAUUUGGUUUAUAUAAAAGUAAUAUUUGACCUACAGUAAUUUGUAAUUGUGGAUCUAUUUUUUAGUAAAGUAGUGAAAAUGUAAAAGACAGUAAAAAAAUUUUUAUGAUUUUUUGAAGAUUAU
rnacentral:rRNA from 1 species